GCUAGAAGUCAGCUCCACGUUCGGCUAACCUGAAUCUUCAUUUGGACCUCGUUCCAUCCCAAAGUCCUCUCAUCGCUACCUAGUAAGUUGUAGCACAAUACUGCAUCUCAAGCCGACAUGUAUUCAAGAAUGAUCGUCUUGAAAGAAAGAUCAGAUGGAAUUCUACAACCUCAAAUCUGAGAAAGUACACACCCAGUCAUCAAUCUUGAUGUAAUGCAAGAAUAUUUGUCCUUGUACUAGACCAAAAUGUUUGCUUGUAUUACUGGCCAUAACGCUUUGAGAUUUAUUGGAUAACAAAUAUUUUCCAGAAGUUCUGAAAUAUUUUUAUUGCCUAUUUUUCUCUCAA